rnacentral:misc_RNA from 1 species
CUGCGAGUUCGCGGGAGAGUAGGUUAUUCCCAGGGUUUUUAUUUUUAUACUUUAAACUUUGAUUUUAUUUUUAUGUUUUUUAAAUAUUGGUGUUUUUGAAUGUGUUGUUUAAAUAACAUAAAAAAUAAAAUAUAUAUUGACAUGUAUUAAACAAAGAUAUAUAUUAUUUUAUGUUGUAUAAAUAAAUUGGCAAAAUAUAGAUGGAAAAUAAAAAUAUGGGCAAAGUAAUAAGAGACUAUGGUGAAUGCCUAGGA